UACGUAGGGUGCGAGCGUUGUUCGGAUUCACUGGGCGUAAAGGGUGCGUAGGUGGUCGGGUAAGUCUGAUGUGAAAUCUCCGAGCUUAACUCGGAAAUGGCAUUGGAUACUAUUCGGCUAGAGGGUUUGAGGGGGGGACUGGAAUACUUGGUGUAGCAGUGAAAUGCGUAGAUAUCAAGUGGAACACCAGUGGCGAAGGCGAGUCCCUGGAAAACUCCUGACACUGAGGCACGAAAGCUAGGGGAGCAAACAGG
rnacentral:rRNA from 1 species